GAGAAGAAUAGGGAUUUAUUGAUUGUUUCCAUUUAUGUUGAUGAUUUGUUGAUCACUGGAAGCAAUUAUGAGAUGGUUAAUCAAUUUAAAGAGGAAAUGAAGAGUGUUUUUGAAAUGAAUGAUUUGGGAAAAUUUUCAUAUUUUUUGGGAAUUGAAAUUUCUCAGUCAAAGCAAGGUUUUUUCUUGUUUCAAAAGAAGUAUUUGAUGGAAGUCU
rnacentral:misc_RNA from 1 species